rnacentral:rRNA from 1 species
AACGAACGCUGGCGGCAGGCCUAACACAUGCAAGUCGAGCGCCCCGCAAGGGGAGCGGCGGACGGGUGAGUAACACGUGGGAACGUACCCUUUGCUACGGAAUAGUCUCGGGAAACUGGGGGUAAUACCGUAUGUGCCCUUCGGGGAAAGGAUUUAUCGGCAAAGGAUCGGCCCGCGUUGGAUUAGGUAGUUGGUGGGGUAAUGGCCUACCAAGCCGACGAUCCAUAGCUGGUUUGAGAGGAUGAUCAGCCACACUGGGGACUGAGACACGGCCCAGACUCCUACGGGAGGCAGCAGUGGGGGAAUCUUAGACAAUGGGCGCAAGCCUGAUCUAGCCAUGCCGCGUGAGCGAUGAAGGCCUUAGGGUUGUAAAGCUCUUUCUAGUGGGGAAGGAUAAUGACUGUACCACAGAAGAAGCCCGGCUAACUCCGUGCCAGCAGCCGCGGUAAAGUACAGUGU